GGGCCCAUAGCUCAGCCUGGUAGAGCAGUGGCCUUUUAAGCCAUGUGCCGUGGGUUCAAAUCCCACUGGGCUCG
rnacentral:tRNA from 1 species